rnacentral:misc_RNA from 1 species
GGAAAACAAUAGGAACACUAAUAUUCCCACCAGACAUGUAGUGUGUUUUGGCAGCAGAGUUAAUCAGAUGGUCUAUUGCCUGCAUGGCAAAGUUAAAGGUCAUGAACUCCAAGACAGGCCUAAGUCCAUAAUAUGCGGCUCCGGUAGCGAGUCCAGUAAAUCCAGCCUCAGUAAUUGGGGUAUCAACAACUCUGUCAGGGCCAUACUUGUGCAAGAGUCCUUUAGAGACCUUGUAAGCACCUUGGUAUUCCCCAACCUCUUCACC